CCUACGGGCGGCAGCAGUAGGGAAUUUUCGUCAAUGGGCGCAAGCCUGAACGAGCAAUGCCGCGUGAACGAGGAAGGUCUUCUGAUCGUAAAGUUCUGUUGAAGGGGAAAAAGAGCGGAGAGAGGAAAUGCACUCCGAUUGAUAUUACCCUUCGAGGAAGUCACGGCUAACUACGUGCCAGCAGCCGCGGUAAUACGUAGGUGGCGAGCGUUAUCCGGAAUGAGUGGGCGUAAAGGGUGCGUAGGCGGCCUGCUAAGUCUGGAGUGAAAGGUACCGGCUCAACCGGUAUAGGCUCUGGAAACUGGCGGGCUAGAGAGCGGGAGAGGGCGGUGGAACUCGAGGUGUAGCGGUAAAAUGCGUAGAUAUAGGGAAGAACACCAGUGGCGAAGGCGGCCGACUGGCGUGUGACUGACGCUGAGGCACGAAAGCGUGGGGAGCAAAUAGGAUUAGAUACCCGAGUAGUC
rnacentral:rRNA from 1 species